ACGGAGUGUCGGUUCGACCCCGACCACCGGUACUACAAGAAUGAAAAGACGUUAUCCUUAUAACAGGAUAACGUCUUUUUUGUUU
rnacentral:tRNA from 1 species